CACGUAGGGGGCGAGCGUUGUCCGGAUUUAUUGGGCGUAAAGAGCUCGUAGGCGGCUAAGUAAGUCAGGUGUGAAAACUCCAGGCUCAACCUGGAGACGCCACCUGAUACUGCUUUGGCUAGAGUCCGGUAGGGGAGCAUGGAAUUCCUGGUGUAGCGGUGAAAUGCGCAGAUAUCUGGAGGAAUACCGGUGGCGAAGGCGGCAUCCUGGAGCGGCAUUGACGCUGAGGCGCGAAAGCCAGGGGAGCAAACGGG
rnacentral:rRNA from 1 species